GGCGGUGUAGCUUAGCCUGGCCAUAGCGCUGGAUGAUUGCCUGACUGACUGGGUUACGCAGAGGUCGUGGAUUCAAAUUCCGCCACCGCCA
rnacentral:tRNA from 1 species